UGUGCGCAGCUGAAGCUAGGCUUCCGCGGUGAAAUAGACGAAUAGAGAGCGACGGAGAUAUGAACGGUUUUCUCUUCCCGUUCUCUUGUCAGUUCUCACUUUAAACUUGACAAAUGUGAGCUAGACAACUUUACAUUUUCUAAGUUUUUGUACGUAACGUGUUGCCUAUUUUGGAGUGCUUUGUUGUUUUCAGAGUUUAAGAAAGGUCGAACAACUGCAGACAGCGUUGGAUUAUUCCGGUGGCGGAAUAUUUUGGUGGACAGUCACCGUCCUACACAUUGCAUACGGGAUAUUCAAAACAUUUAAAAGUUGCGAUUGGUGUCACAUUUCUCCGUGACUUUUAGGUAUGACUGUGGUUGUCAGCGCGUCUCCGGACAGGUAACCGGGUGUGUUGCUGGUGCCAUGGCCACGCCAGAGCUGCGGCCGUUACCUUUCAUUGUGGUUACCGUCAUUCUGGUGGCGUUGUCGGCUGCGGAUGACCACGACUGGCACUUUAAACCAGCUCAGUGUCGUUAUGCCCUGGGGAUGGAGGAUGGCACCAUCCCUGACUCUGACAUCACGGCUUCCAGCGCCUGGUCAGACUCUACUGAGGCCAAACACGGCAGGUACGUGUGUCGGUGUGUGUGCGUGCCUGCCUGGCUGCACUGCAUGUGUUGUGUGUAUUAUUACAUACCUUCCAAAGGGAAAAAGCCCAGCAGCUGGCCUGUAUAGCUGUGUCAGCUGUUAUUGUAGAUUAUCUCUGUGAAGUGUUUCUGGUUUCCAUGAUUCUAAGACUCUGUGACCUUUGACAUA